rnacentral:lncRNA from 1 species
GUAGUUAAUAAUAGAUUCUAAAGGGUGCAUCAUCGGUCUCAUUGUGUCCAUGGAAGGGUAUUGGUAAAAUACCUCUUCAUAACGCUUCUUGUUAUUUUGCAUAUUUCUACAUUUCUUUAACAGUUAGAACGUGAAAUUGGGCCCAACGACACCAACAGCUGUUUAAAAGUCUGUAAGUAGACACACAUAUACACACCUACACUCCGGGUCAGGAGAAUAGCGUCUACACAGUGAGACAUGCAUGCUUAACCAUAUAUAAGAUGAAUUAUUAUUAACUAUAAUCACUACAAUUAUGCCAUUUAAUUUAUUUAAUUAAUUAAUUCUUACUUUAUAUUUUGAUUAUAUUAUUUUUAUUCAUAUUUGAUCAUUCUCUUGAAUUCCUAUGUAUUAAAUUAGUCCCACAUAUACAUGCCCUUGCAGUAAAAAUAGUUUUAAGGGUUAGGGUAGAAAUAAUGGGUGUUACAAACAACCUGAAGUCAUACAAGUCAAAGUAAAAUUAUAACGAUUUAACAUGAAUUUCUAAUCUGAUUUUUGGGAGGGGUUCCUAAGGCACAUAGGCAGCAGCGGCAGGUUUUGGGUAGAACCAUAAUGGCAUAUUCUAAUGUUAUUCUACAUGGAGGGUGGGUCAAGAGGGAAGAGCACAUCCACCUUGCUCUUCACAGUAGGUAGUGGACCUUAAGUUCCGUCCGGGUUUGUAAUUCCGAUCCCAGUUCCCGUAAAUCUGUCUACGAUUUUGUUAGGUGACGGAGUUCGUUUUCGCAGCACAACACCCACCCCAUUUUCCCUGAGCCUAGCCGGCAAACUUUUAGUAGACAGAGAGUGCUGACGAGACGACACUUCCCGUGUCCGUUACAUAACAAAUGGCGCCCAACGUGGGGCCCGAAUGGUCCGUUUUCCCCAAUAACCUUCCCCAAUCCCUUCCGCAACCCAAUAUUGAUCCAAAUUUUAAAGUAGUUCAGUUUUUGUGUUAUAUAUCCAGCUCGGAACCGCUGGGAAUCUGAUCAUUGUCGGACCCAGACCAGUGGAUAUAUUGCAUAGAAGAAGAUCACAGUAGACUUCAUUAUAUAAUUUCAUCAGGAUACUAGGAACGAUAGUUCUGAGUAAAUUGGUUCUAUACCUAGUAGCGAAGAUGAAUGACCUUUAUUCUCUCGAGAUUAGUUGAGACUUGUUCAGACUGGAGAAUUCGGUCCUGUUCCUCCUUUUCUCGAAAGGAUCAUCAACCAAUAUUUUCUUUUCUUUCUUUCUGCUUACGGACUUAAGGUUAUAACAACCGAAGACAUUCCUUCUGCUGUGCUGGUGCCUGGUAGGAGACCCUCCCAAUCAUUGCCCAUAUUUUCGAAUUUAGAAUCAAACAAAAAAAAAAAAUCUUUCUGGUCUAAAGACCAUAUCGUUAUAUAACUUAUAUCGUUUUUCCUUAAUCAUAAUUUGUUACAAUGGCGGUAAGGCGAAGUAUUGACAAUAUAAAUGUUAAUCUCGGCGAGGUAGUCGUACACUGCACUAUAUGCAAUGAUACUAGCCAGGACACCGACAUUGUAGAAACCCAUUGCAAACACAAAUACCACAGGUCGUGUUUAUNAGGAAAUAUCCAACGACUUAUUUCAGAGUCCAUGACUAAAUUUCAGGAAAAUAUGACCGCAGUUAUUUCAGAGAAGAUAACAACGGAGUUGAGGAAUCUGAACCUGACAAAUGUUUCUAGGAACUUCCGGGAGGAGCCCCUGCUUGAAUGGGAGAGUGAUAUUGCUCCAUCCUUCCCUCGAAUGAGCAGCGCUAGUAAUCUUCGUAACCAUAGUUACAGGCCACGCCCAUCUAGUGCUCGUGCGAAUUUCACAGACCUUCCUAGUGAACCUCCUGAUAAGAUCUCAAAUAUCAUUUCCAAGUGGCGUAUAAAAUUCAGUGGAUCUUCCAAAGAUAUUCCCAUCGAAGAUUUUAUUUAUAGAGUGAAUUGUCUUACCAAUAAUUGUUUAAAUGGAAACUUCACCUUACUGGCGCAGUUCGCCAGUCUCUUAUUUACUGAUUCAGCCUUGUCAUUUUACUGGCGUGUUCAUAGGGCCACGAAUAACCUUGACUGGUAUGAGUAAACAGGGUAGUAAUGAAAGCUUUGACGAUUUUUCUAGAUGCGAUGCUAUCUAUCGCAGACUCUUUACGAGAGCCUAUGCAGGACGGUGACGUCACCAUAGAGGUUCGCGAGAAUUUAAAGUCGGAACUGAAGCUCGACUUGCUUCAUAUCGAAACUCCAGAUUUGGCAACCUUACGCAAGGAGUGUCACAAGCACGAGGAAUUCUUUCGAAAUCUGAAGUCAAGCCCUUUUUCGCGACACGAAGUAGUGAAUAGCAAGAGGUUUGUGAACUCCAUUAGCCAUGACGAAGAAGCUGAUGAUAAUUCCGAAAAAGAAGGGGACUCCCUUGACGAAGUUUAUGCACUCCGAUCUUCCGAAAUUAGUAAAUGCUGGAAUUGCGAAGAACAGGGCCACAAAUACCAGGAAUGCCUAAAACCUCGUCGUAUUUUCUGUUAUGGUUGUGGUGUACCUGAUACGUACAAGCCCAACUGUGCAAAGUGUAAAUCGACUACGGAAAAGUAUCCCAGGAUGUCCAUCGGUCAACAAGACGCGACAUCCGACGUUAGUCUCGGAUGUUCAACAUACACAUUUUAUUACCGGACGUGAACUUAAACCAGACAUAUCCAAAUCCCCCUCAGACAUACCACUCCCCCUACAUUUCAGACCAUACCAUAUUAGACUUCGAGAAUAUCAGAAGCGCAGAGCCGAAAUUUUUGAUCCCAAACCUCCUUUAGCGGUGUUGUCUCGUUCAGCGGAACGAAUGCGCGAAUUUUGGAAGCGAAAGAGAAGCCUACGUCACGUCACUGUUUCCUCGGUCGUUCACAAAGUGAGCGAAAUUCGUCCUUUUACUCAAGUUGAGAUACUCGGUGAGAGUUACCUUGCGCUAUUAGAUAGCGGAGCCAAUAAAAGCGUCAUCGGAGGAAAUUUAGCCG